rnacentral:lncRNA from 1 species
CUGGUGACUAUGGAAAAUGAAAGCAAGUUCACGCUGACAAUGCCCGUAAAGAGCUUUGUGAAGCCAUGACAGUGCUCUUCAAUUUUAACAUGAAGAAGAGGGCAUGUGAGUUAGCAAGACUGGCCAGAGGCCAGAGCCCGGGGCCAGCAAACCUUUCCCUGCUGUGAGGUGGGCAAGUUAGUUGCUCCAAAAACAAGAUAAAAUGAUUGAGUUCUUUUCUCAAGCGGGAGUCGGAGUUUAUCUGCUCUGAGGGUCAUCCAACUAAAAAAUAUAUAUAUCUUGAGGAUUUGCAUUGAUAUUCAAUAUCGACAUAUCCAAGGCCUCCCUCCAGACCACUAGAUUCUAGUAAUUUGAACCGGCUUCUCCUCUCCCUCAAAGCAGCUCUGCUUAGUACAGUGCUUGGCACAAAGCAAAUAUUCAAUAAAUGUUAGCCAACGUUAGCUGCUCAUCUGCUUUCCUUAAAAGCCAAGUCAUUUCAACAAACCACCCCUGAGGCCCCAAGACACAGAAGAACAGCAUCCAGUCCAAGCCUUCUGGUGCAGAGCCCCAGCAGCUACUAUUAAUGAGUGUCUGGAAUAUGUUCCUGGCAUUUCACCUACCCUCUCUCCAAUCCUUCCAAGAAACUCACAAAGCAGGGCUUUUUCUUGAACUUCUCUUCCUCACAACAGUUAAAUCAUCCAUUUAAAGAUGUCAAACAACCUCCGUGUUCUAAGAUGUCUCUGUGUUAGGAAAACUUGGAUAAGCAGGUCCAUAGAAAUUCCUCUGCUAGCCCUGUCUCCUGGAAUUUCUACAUAAUGGCAUAUCCUCAGUUUGAAGCUGAAAAGGUUAAAUUCUACCUGAAGGAUGAAAACAACCAACAUUCUGUGCCAAGACAGUCAGGAGGGCAACCAUGUUUCCUGGUGGAGCCUCUGGAACCACUCAAGCCAAGAUGACCGGGGGUUUGGCUGGGAGGAGAUGGGGAAACUACAGACCCUACAGAUGGUUUCCUGUACCAUGAGGUUAAGCCUGGGGGCAGGAGAGGCUGUACCUUAGUUCCUUCAUCUGUAAAAUAAAGUAACAUAGUACCUACCUCA